rnacentral:rRNA from 1 species
GAAGGGUGCAAGCGUUACUCGGAAUUACUGGGCGUAAAGCGUGCGUAGGUGGUGCGUUAAGUCUGUCGUGAAAGCCCCGGGCUCAACCUGGGAAUGGCGAUGGAUACUGGCGCGCUAGAGUGCGGUAGAGGAGAGUGGAAUUCCCGGUGUAGCAGUGAAAUGCGUAGAGAUCGGGAGGAACAUCAGUUGCGAAAGCGGCUCUCUGGACCAACACUGACACUGAGGCACGAAAGCGUGGGGAGCAAACAGGAUUAGAUACCCUGGUAGUCCACGCCCUAAACGAUGCGAACUGGACGUUGGGAGCAACUAGGCUCUCAGUGUCGAAGCUAACGCGUUAAGUUCGCCGCCUGGGGAGUACGGUCGCAAGACUG